rnacentral:misc_RNA from 2 species
AACGCACAUUGCGCCCAUUGGUAUUCCGAUGGGCAUGUCUGUUUGAGCGUCAUUACAAACCCUCGGUUGCAGGUUUCUCACCCGCACCGGUCUUGGGCUAUGCCGCGGCCUAACCGCCCGGCUGGCUUUAAAUUGGCAGCUCUGCGGUUGACAGCCUAGGAAGAACAUGAUACAUAUUAUAUUUGUUCUGCUUCGAAAGCUUGAAAUGCCGCCUGAAGAACAAACCCUUUCAUGAGUUUGACCUCAGAUCAGAUAAGGAUACCCGCUGAACUUAA